AUCCAAGUGCAAGGGCAUUAACCGCAGCAGUGAAGAUUCGUCUGAGCUCGGUUUUUUGCUAGUUGAAAAUUACAACAAUGGCUGCUCCUGUUGGCCCGUUGGGUCGGCAGGGAAUUUUUGGCGAAACACUAC
rnacentral:snRNA from 1 species